rnacentral:rRNA from 1 species
UACAACAGCCAUGCUACCCUGAAAAAGCCCAAUCUCGUCUGAUCUCAGAAGCUAAGCAGGGUCGGGCCAGGUUAGUACUUGGAUGGGAGACCACCUAGGAAAACCAGGUGCUGUAGGCG